rnacentral:snoRNA from 1 species
CUCCACAGCGUUGACUUUAGUUCAAGCAGCCUUCCAGUUCUGUUAAUUAAACUUUGGGGUACUGAAAUUGGCUGAGUGAAAUAACUAAAUAGAGUGUUACUCUAUUCAUAUACUUCUAACCUAUACAA